UGCCCCCUCCAAUAUAUUUAUUGAAAAAAAUUCACAUGUAGGUGGAACCAUGCAAUUCAAACCCGUGUUGUGCAAGGGUCAACCAUAAUGUUAUUCAUUUCCCCCCUCCUGACUAAGAGGAUAUUUCUUUUUCCAACCACUUUUACACAUAUUAAACUGUAAAACCUGCAGGGUAGAGUUUUAGACCCGGAAGGAGUUUUGGAAACUAUAUAGGCAACCUCUCGUUUUACAGAGGACUGGACAGGACACCUUGCUCAGGGUGAUGCCACUCGGUGGUGGCAGAGGCCGAAGGGAGAACAGAAGGGUCCCAAUAGUGUGGUGUUCUGUCGUACCACACAGACGUAACUGAAAAUGGAAAGCCUGAAAGAAUUCUUUCUUGGCAGGACCACUGGGAAAUUCAGAGUGGCUUCAAGGUUGAGGGGAAGAGAAAGCAACUGGAGAUGAGGAUGGAAAGGCAUUUGGAGCUGUCCAAUCUCUGAAAACUAUUGAAAUUCCUGCUUAGGAAUUAACAAUCACCUCCUGUCACGGGCAAACCUCAACACGACUUGGAAUGCCACUUUGUCCAAGAGAAGGCUUGGCAAACCUGACUUCUUGGUUAUGGGAGACUAUCCCAGAACAAGCAGGAAGUACUGAGGACAUGAAGAACCUAGAGACUCACUUCUCAUCUGUACCCUUAAAAGAGAGGUUAGGCAAGUUGCUGCCCCUCUCUGGGCCUCAGUCUUCCCAUCUGUAAAUCAAGGAUGCUAGUACUGCCAUGAUUAAGAAGAAAAUGUUUAGGCAGCUAUAUUUAUCAUGUCACUGAAAUGCUCUGAUAGAAAAAAGCUCCUUGAUGAAAUUAGGAAAGUCUCAUGGACUUCACGCCAAAGGACCUGGAAAGACUUGGAGGAGUAUGGUAUGAGGUAGGUCCUAAAAGCUGGACAGGGGUGCAGGGAGGGGUGCAGAGUUUGGACUGCCGGGGCAGGAGACCAGGUGUCUUCCCAGACAGGAAGGGCUACUGCUCUGUCUCUUCCCUUUCCAUCCAUCUUUCCCUUUCCAUUAGCAUCUCUCCCACAUUCACAGCUCUGGCCCUCAACUCUCAUUUCUAAGAGGCUAUUAGUUACGAGACACGCUUUUAAUUAAAUUGCGGCUUUUAAGGGAAUAAAAAAAUAUCUCCACUAUAAACACACACUGGUUUUAAGUUGCAUCUCAGUUUCAAAACCAUUAAGUUAUGGGGAGAAAGUGUAUCUUAGAAAUGAGAAAAUCCUGAAUGUGUCACUUCAAAAUAAAUACUACCCCAAAAAUUUCGUCAUGUGGACCUUGAGACCGAUAUUCAUGUUCCUGUUCUACCACAUGCUAGCUUUAUCCUUCUGGGCAAGUUGCUUGAUUUCCCCAAGCAUCAAUUCAUUUUUUAAAUGGUCUAUAAAUUGCCCAGGCAUAGGAGGUGAGCAGUUAAGAUUAUUUGAAUCAGAAUGUUGACUCAUUUUGGAAAGAGGACUAUAAAACAUAUUUUGUCUAAAAUUAGGGGUUGCCAUAGUUUAAAAAAAAAACACCUAUAUAUUGUCAUGUUAGGACAGUAUAACACAGAGUGGUGAUUCUCAACUGGGGGCGGUUUUAACCCUCAAGUGACAUUUGGCAGUGUUUGGAGGAGUUUUGGUUGUCACCACUGUGGGGGGCAAGCUACUGGCAUCUAGUGUGCAAAGGCUGGGGAAGCGACUGAACAUCAGUGCAUAGGACACCCCCCACCAGAACAAAGGGCUUUCUGGCCCCGAAUGUCCAUAGCAUGAGGUCAAGAAAACCUGACAUAGAGAUUCAGAGUGUUGAUUGUGGAGCCCAACUAUCUGAAUGUGAUCCCUGGCUCUGCCACCUACCAGCUCUGUCAGUUACUUGCUCUCCGUCAUCUGGGGGAGCAUAAUAGCAGUUUCUGCCACAUGGGGUGGUUGGGAGGAUUACUAGGACUGAAUGUGGGUAGAGACCGGCUUCUAGGCGGCACCCAGUGAGUGUCAGAUGUUAAGGAAUCGAAUAAGAACUAGACUGUGAAUAUACCUGGUGACGAGUUCUAGGACCUCAGAUAAGCGCGUUAAUGCCUUGUGUCUCAGUUUCUCCACUGAAAAUUAUGUUAAAAAAUUAUGGAGAUCAAAUGGAAAUCAUGACUAUGAUAGCAUACUGGGAACAGUGGAAAAUUUCACAAAUACAUUUGUGUCAUUAUUAUUGCCUCAAACCCCAGUAAGACAAUGUCCUGGGGUGAAGCAGUGAACUCUCAAGGGCCAGGCUGUAACUCAGAAGGAACAACAGAGAGAGGAGGUGCUCCGAACAGCACGUUGCAGGCCCAGCAACGGAUUGCACCUUAAGUACAUCCUCAGCUGUGAAUGCAGGAAGUUGCCUUUAUUGCAUAGUUAUGUGCAAGCUGCGCCCGGCCCCACAUACCACUUUCCCCGGAGGGGUGCUUGGCGGAGCAGCACGCACGCCUGCGUUGCAGGCUCUGAACUCAGGGAAAAACAACAGCUCAGAUGGGAAGAGAGUCCCGCAAACCCUUGGCCAGGGAUCUGUUCCUGCUCUGCCUGUGUCUUCUCUGGCACGUAGACGAAGGAACUGGCUUGCUAGCCUGGACUCCAUGUUCUGCCAGAACUCUAACUCCAACCAUACAGGACUG